rnacentral:rRNA from 1 species
UACGUAGGGCGCAAGCGUUGUCCGGAAUUAUUGGGCGUAAAGAGCUCGUAGGCGGUCUGUCGCGUCCGUUGUGAAAACUCGAGGCUCAACCUCGGGCUUGCAGUGGGUACGGGCAGACUAGAGUGUGGUAGGGGAGACUGGAAUUCCUGGUGUAGCGGUGAAAUGCGCAGAUAUCAGGAGGAACACCGAUGGCGAAGGCAGGUCUCUGGGCCACUACUGACGCUGAGAAGCGAAAGCAUGGGGAGCGAACAGG